AACUUGUGCAUUUUGAGUUAAAUUAUUUUCCAACAAAUGUCAUUAAGGUCGCAAUUACCCUUGCAUGUAGUUAAUCAGAGUCUGAGCCAACCAUAAUCACCAACAUAUUUAUGUAUUUCGAGAAUUGCAAACACGUGUAAGACGUGUUGAAAAAUAUAUAAAUAGCAAAACCGGUUUGUCAUUUCCAAAAUAUGUACAUAGAUAAUUCCAAGAAUUUCAAUUUUACCAGGAAAUAAACCAGUUGCAUACAUGAGUAUAAAAGGGAUACAAAUCGGAUCAUGUGCCAGUCUGAUUACAAAAUUGCUCACUAAAUAUCACACAGAUCCUGAAAUUUUACAGAAAUUUAUAUCCAACAUGACUUCAAAUCGUACCAUUGCAGUCUUCACAUUAAUCUUGGUCAUUUCAUUCUGUCUUGUAUUUGUGACCACGUAUGAACCAUGCACCGACAACUAUGAGGAGUCUUGCAGCAAGGCUUGUGGCGAAGGAAGGGACGCGAUUAAAAAGUGUUGUCGAACUUACGGGCAUAGCACGGGACAUUGCAUCGGGACGGGGUCAGAUGGGGCAGGAGACGCGUAUUGUUGCUGAUGGAAAUAAAACACAUUUUAAAUUCAAAACCAUGAAAUUUUAGUUUGAGUAAACUUGAAGCUUGAAGUUGCGAAAAUUUGAUCUCUCUUUUAACUUUGUUUAUUAACGUGCUAUCAAAUGUUUAGUACAACAAAUCGAGUACAAUGAUUUUGAAAAAUAAUAAUAAAAGUAGUACCAAGAAAUA